rnacentral:ncRNA from 1 species
UGCUUUUAUUAGACCAAGAUCAAUCGGGCUUCGGUCCGUUUUGUGUGGUGACUCUGGAUAACUUUGUGCUGAUCGCACGGCCACGAGCCGGCGACGUUUCUUUCAAGUGUCUGCCUUAUCAACUGUCGAUGGUAGGUUAUGCGCCUACCAUGGUUGUUACGGGUAACGGAGAAUCAGGGUUCGAUUCCGGAGAGGGAGCCUGAGAAACGGCUACCACAUCCAAGGAAGGCAGCAGGCGCGCAAAUUACCCACUCCCGGCACGGGGAAGUAGUGACGAAAAAUAACAAUACGGGACUCUUUUGAGGCCCCGUAAUUGAAAUGAGUACACCCAGUCGAAAAUUCUCAUUAGAUUCCAAUUGGUAUUUCCAAUUGGUACCAGUUAGGUUUUCGGACAACCAAUUGGUCACUGUAAUGGGAACCAAUGGGAAUUAACGGGAACCAUUUGAAGCCCAUUAAGUUUCCAACUGGAAAAUUUUUUCCAACUGAUGGCCAGUGUGCUUCCAAUUGGAACCCACUAAAACCGAUUGGUUCCAAUUAAAACCAGUUAGAAUUCCAAUUGGGUCUAAUGAUAUUUUUUAGCUGGGCACUCUAAAUCCUUUAACGAGGAUCCAUUGGAGGGCAAGUCUGGUGCCAGCAGCCGCGGUAAUUCCAGCUCCAAUAGCGUAUACUAAAGUUGCUGCGGUUAAAAAGCUCGUAGUUGGAUCUCAGUUACAGGCGGGAAGUGCGUGGACACCACGUUACGGCCCGUGCUGAACAUCAUGCCUGUCGUGGCUUGGUUCCCUUCAUCAGGUGCCUUGCUUUGGCCGGCGCGUUUACUUUGAAAAAAUUAGAGUGCUCAACGCAGGCGAUUCGCCUGAAUAACAGUGCAUGGAAUAAUAGAACAAGAUCCUGUUUCUGUUCUGUUGGUUUUUGGAAUACAGGAUAAUGAUUAAGAGGGACAGACGGGGCAUUCGUAUUGCGGCGCUAGAGGUGAAAUUCUUGGACCGUCGCAAGACGAACUACUGCGAA